UAAACGUUUGACAGCAGAACCGAGUAUUGAAAUGGAUAAACUCAAGAAAUACAAAAAAACAAAAAUAUUUUCGGUUACGAUAUCGACUGGUUAUACUCUCAACGUGGAUGCCCUUUUGUUAAAGUACCUCUAGCUCCGCCGGAAGAUUUCUUAUUCGAAUACUGGAAAACAGCGUCUCGACAAAAUAUCUUUACAGCUCCAAUGUUGCGUGAUUUGCACCCCCAGUGGCAAGCUAUGGAGACAUUUAUGCGAAGAGUAUCUCAAGUUACGAAUUCAGCUAAAGUGAUCGUGGGAACUCAUGGUCAGUUUUUACAACCACCAGCCUCCCCCGAACAGGAAGAUUCUUCGUUUGAAAAUGUGGCUUGGCCAAAUGAAAAAUAUCGUAUACCAAAAUACUUCUGGAAAGCUUUCUCGUUGCAGUUUUCUCUUAACGGUCGACGUUAUAGUUAUGGAAUCUUGUUCAUCUUGCGCAAUUCAUACGAGCUAGAUUCUGAUACUGAAUGGUAUAUUCAGAAAUUCUGCUCGGGUUAUGAUUUCGUCAAUUUAGGAUGGAAAUUUUUACUCGAUAACAAAUUUAAGAAUCAUAUGCUCGCUUGCUUGUUGGAUGAUGAAAUUUUGUCACAUUUUGGUGAAACAACUAACGAUAAGUUUAACGAUUUUAAUUUAAAUUUACUGUCGGUAUUGAGGCCUGAUUACAAAGGUGAUGGAUACGUCGUCAGGGAAGUAAAUGUUAUUGAGGAAAUUAAGGAAAUCAAGGAAAUCGAGAAGUUGGAAAUGAUGUGGAAGACAUAGAAGGAUAGUUAUUCGAAGACGGUAAAACUUAUGUAAAUAGAGAAUUCUCAAAAGUUUCACCUUAAGCUUUUUCGUGUUUUGUCUUAUUUUUAAAUCCAUAGUCCUAUGUACUGAUGAUCCUCUUUUGAAAUUUUUCCAUAUUUGUAUUUUCUAAAAUUAUGCAUACCCCCUACAAUUUUUUUUUGAAAAAUUUCUCCAAAACUGACCAUGAAAAAAUGCCUUAUUUUUUGCUAAAGAAUUAACA